AUAAAUGUUGUUUGCAAUAAAAUAGUCGUAUUGAUUAGCUAAAACUUAAUAUUAAUCUUUUGAAAAGUCAGUAUACAUUUACACUAUUUUUAGGUUGUAGAAUGUAUUGAUGGUAAAACAUUGAUCUUCUUUUUCUUCGGAAUUUCUCGCGGUAUUUUUAAGCGGCAAUUCAAAUUUGAUUAAUUUUUUUUAUCUCUCCUUUAAUUUAUAUUAUAAAGUUACUUGAUAAAUUACUAGUUAAAUUUGUAAUUCAUAUUAUUUUAAGAAAAUGAUAAACAAAAAUAGGAUUUUACGAAAAAUAUAAUUAUUAAAUAUUCGUGCGCUCUGUAGUUUUCGGUGUCCAGGUGUAAAUACUGUUCGAAGACGUUGUCUAGGUGUACCGGGUGGCUCAUGACGAGGUCAUGGGAGUGCGCUCCGUAGUUUUAGAUAUCUAGGUGUAAAUACUUGACCAGGACAGCGUCUAGGCGUAUAGGAUAGCCGAUGACGAGGUCUAUGUGGUGCGCUCCGUAGUUUUCUGUGUCCAGGUGUAAAUACUGAUCAAAGACAGUCUAGGUGUACAGGGUGGCCGAUGACGAGGUCUAGGUGGUGCGCUCGAUAGUUUUCGGUGUCCAGGUAUAAAUACUGAUCAAAGACAGUGUCUAGGUGUACAGGGUGGCCGAUGACGAGGUCUAGGUGGUGCGCUCCAUAGUUUUCGGUGUACAGGUGUGAAUAAUGAUCGAAGAUGGUGUCUAGAUGUACAGAGUAGCCGACGACGAGGUCUAGCUGGUGCGCUCCGUUGUUUUCGGUAGCUAAGUGUAAAUACUAGAGCGGGACGGCGUCUAGGUGUACAAAGUGGCCAAUGACGAGGUGCAGGGAGUGCGCUCGAUAGUUUUCGGUGUCCAGGUAUAAAUACUGAUCAAAGACAGUGUCUAGGUGUACAGGGUGGCCGAUGACGAGGUCUAGGUGGUGCGCUCCAUAGUUUUCGGUGUACAGGUGUGAAUAAUGAUCGAAGAUGGUGUCUAGGUGUACAGAGUAGCCGACGACGAGGUCUAGCUGGUGCGCUCCGUUGUUUUCGGUAGCUAAGUGUAAAUACUAGAGCGGGACGGCGUCUAGGUGUACAAAGUGGCCAAUGACGAGGUGCAGGGAGUGCGCUCCAUAGUUUUUGGUAUCUAGGAGUAAAUACAAGACUGUAACAGGGUCUAAGUGUUCAGGGUGGCUGAUCACGAGGUUCAGGUUAUGAGUUCCAUUUUUUUCUUUUCUUUUUUUUUGUUCUAGUAUAAAAACAAGUCAAGGUAAAAAUUCGAGAAUGUUGACAUUUGAAUACUAAACUAUACAAACCCACUUAUACUUGCCAACAUUUCACUUUUUUUGAAAGGUUAAUUUUUAGAUAGAAAAUAUACUUUCACAAAAGUAAAUAAAAGUUUGAUGUUUUUUUAAAUUUUAUCCCAACCCUGGCUUGACUUCUUAAUUCAUGUAGAUUGUUCAUUUAAGUCGUUUCAAAAUAAAAUAAAUAAAUAUUUGAUGGAUUCGAAUGGAUUUAUUUAAGUGAGAUCAUUCACAUUUUUUUGUAACGUUAGAGAUAUUUACUGUUGGAGAUAUACAAAAUAUUAAACUGAAGUUUUUAAAAUCUCAGUAGUUUACAAUUAGCAGAAUACAGUACUAGAACUCGGAUUUAGGAAAAUAAAUUUUAAUAAAUUUAUUAAUUGGAAUAAAUACAACUUAUUUAAUAUAAAUAUUAUAUUAGAAUACAAAAUAGUAUAUUAUGGAAAUAAGGGGGUUGGGGCAGGGGAUUCUUGGCUAGGGUGACGAAUGUAUUACUCUUCCUGCUGUUUCAUAAUAGAUUGUUUAUUACGUUACUGAGUUUUACUAUUUACUAAGUUUUCCAAAAUUCCUCAAUAUCCCGAUUUUCCUAAAUAUUCCGAAUACCUUUAAGAGUGCUCUACAAUCUUAAACCACCAAUGAGAACACAAGAUUUGUCUCGACAAAUUACGGCUUUAUUUAAUAACAAAUUAUAAAUCCGUAAUUUGUCGAGAAAAAUCUCGUGUUCUCAUUGGUCGUUCAGGAUUGCAGAGCACUCUUAAUCUUAAAUGUAAGAAAAUAGCAUUCUCCUAUAUAAAAAUGUUUUCAGCAAUCUUACUUUAACUCGAUAUGGAUGGAUUACGAUGUUUUCUAUGCCAAUAUCAAUUAAUUCCUGGUGGAUUAAAAGAUUUUACACAACAUUUUACUAUGUAUCAUAGUAUUAAUGUUACCAAAGGAAUACCUGAUACUGGAUUCAUAUGUGGGCAAAAUGGUUGUCAGAGCAAUUUUGUUCAUUUUCGUAACUUAAGACGUCACAUAUUAAAUAACCACUUGGCUGAAGCAAAUUUGGCAACAGCUGCUGCCGAUGACGAAGUCAAUGUUGAAAUGAAUGAAAAUAUGGAAUAUUACAAUAACGAUAUAUUAGAGCAUCAUGAAAUGGAAGCUGAAGCAUUCAAUAAUAUGGCUAGGGAUAUUGUAAAUGCCCCUUUAGAUUUGCGAUCUUACAUUGUUAAAAUGAUUUGUAAAUUGCAUAGUGAUAGCUCUAUGACAGGAUCUGCUAUAACGAUAUUUCUAAACCAUAGUGAAAAUUUGCUUUCAAUCUACUCAAAUUCAUUAAAAGAUGAAAUAAAUGCUCAACUGGUUCAACAUCUAGUAAAUAAUGAAAUUAUUAGAGACGUUAAUAAGGUUUUUGAUAACGAAAAUCCAUUUCUAGAUUUAAAAACAUUUGAACAGCAAAUGAAGGCACUGAAUGAAAAUAGUGACUACAUUGAUCCAAUCGAAAUUCCUUUGGGUCGACGUGUGGAUUCCAGAUUAAAUAAAACAACUCUAUCGUAUGUAUCAAAAGAGGUCGUAGAAUCUUAUCAAUAUGUUCCUGUAAUAAAGGUUUUAAAAAUGGUUUUAAGCAAUCAAGAAGUUAGGUUAAUUAUCGAUAAUGAGCAGCCAUCUUCUGAUGGUAGUUUGGAGUCAUUUAUAGACGGGAAUCAUUUUAAGAAUCAUGUUUUCUUUCAAAAGUACAAAAAAGCUUUAAGAUUAAAAUUAUAUUACGAUGAGAAAGAACUUGUUGGUCUCUUAGGUUCUAAAACGGGUGUUCAUAAGGUUGGAGUUUUUUACUACCAAAUUUCAAAUUUACCUGCUCAUAUGAAUUCUGCGUUAAACAGUAUUCAUGUUUUGAUAGUAGCUCAUCACGUUGAUGUCCAAAAGUAUGGCUUCGAGAAAAUUCUUUCUCCUUUUAUGAAAGAGUUAGCCCAAUUAGAAAGUGAUGCGGGAAUAACUUGGAGAUGCACUAGCCCUUCAUGACGUUUUCAACUUAUUGAGUCCUUCAGCAAAUUUAUUUUGUUCAUUGUGUUUGUAUAAUCGACAAAAUCUACACAAUUGUUCUUUUGAAAAAUCUCAAGUUCGUACUAAAAAGGUAUAUGAUCAGCAUUUGGAAUUACUGAAAAGUACAAAUUUCUCUGAUGAUUCAAAGACAGCAACGGGCAUGAAAGGUGACUGCUGCUUGAAUAAAUCUUUAUAUUUUCAUAUUACAAACAACAAUGUAUUUGACAUUAUGCAUGACUUUUUAUGCGGUAUAUGUCCAAUAAUUUGUAAAUUAGUUCUCCAUGAAUAUGUAUGUGCCCAAAAACGAUUUGAUAUUCCUUUUUUAAAUAAUCGCAUACAUUUGUUUAAUUAUGGUUAUCUUGAAGUUAAAAAUAAACCUUCAGCAACUUUCACCGAAGAUAUACUCAAGAGAAAGGAUCAUACACUUAAACAGAAAGCUAUGCAAAUAUGGUUGUUGACUAGAGCUUUGCCAUUUCUACUCGCAGGAAAGAUUGAAGAAGGAGAUGAACACAUGUAUCUAAUAAUUCUGUUACUUCGAAUAAUGGAAAUUAUUUUUUCACCAAAAUUACAAAAACCUUUGCUUUCUCUUUAUGAUAAUCUAUAAUAAUCAAUAAUCUACUUCAGGAAUUCGUAGAAUGCUUUAAAAAUUUAUUUCCAAAUGUUAAUAUCAUCAACAAAUUUCAUCACGCAAUGCAUUAUUCUGAAUGUGUUCUUUGGUCUGGACCUCUUGUUCACUUUUACUGCAUGAGGUUUGAAGGAAAACAUAACGAAUUGGCCAAGCGAGCUCAAGCUGUAAAUAAUUUUAAAAACAUACCAAAAACUAUAAUUCGAGUAUCACAAUGUAUUCAAUGUGAAAAGUGGAGUUCAGGAAAUGUUAAAAUAAACCAUCAUGAAGUAGUAACUGGUAAAACAAAAUUUGUUUGCAGUACAUUAAGUAGACAGUAUCUUCUUCGACUUGGUUUUGAAGGUAAUAAUUCUGUAUGUGUAACAAAAUCGGUUUUAGUCAAUAGUGUUGAAUUUCGACCAAAGCUAUUUGUUAUUUUGGAAAAAGCUUCAUCAAGGAACGAUAGCUUACAUCUUGUCGGGAGAAUAGAAGAAAUCAUUGUAACAGAGGAAAAAAAUACAUUUUUCCAGAUAAUAGCUGAAUUCGAACUCAUGUCUCCAGAAAAAUGUGAUGAUUUCUUGUCUAAAUUUGGCCCAUAUUACGUUCCACGUAUUUUUGAAUAUACAAGAAUAUGCAAUUAUGAUUUAUGGAAAAAACAUAAUGCUAUAACCGACGAUGUUUUAAAAGCUUUACUUCUGUUGAUAACAUUAUUGCCAGUAAGCAAUGCUGUCAAAAAUAAAUCAAAGAAAAAAGUUGAUAAGCCAAUGGAUAGUUCCCAGAAAAAGAAAGUUAAAAUGAUCGAGCCCUAUCGAUUCAUGAUCGAAAACAUAAAUGCUGGAGCUAAUGUUCAAGAAUUCGUAAAAUCGAAACGAUCUGAAUGCACAUCGACCAUUCAACCGUACAUCAUUCAAGUUGAUGGCGAGACACCCCACUUUUAUGUUAUUGCUGACAAUGCUAUACUUACGUGUAAUAAUCGAAACGAUUUUACUGUGGCCUUUGAUUUGAUGUUUAAAAUUUAUUUCAUAUUUAAUAUUCAGUAUCCAGUGUCUUUACAAAAUGUCUAUACGUUUAUAGAGUCGUACGUAUAUCGCUUAAUAGAAAAAAAGUCAAUUUCUAUUGUGGCAUCAUUAUAUGUCAAUUUAAAAAAUAUGAAUUUGACUCACGAUAGCAAUAGUUCUGAUAGUGACGAAUAAAAUUGCUAUU